rnacentral:rRNA from 1 species
AUUGAACGCUGGCGGCAGGCCUAACACAUGCAAGUCGAACGAGUGGCGGACGGGUGAGUAAUGUCUGGGAAACUGCCCGAUGGAGGGGGAUACCUACUGGAAACGGUAGCUAAUACCGCAUCCCAUCGGAUGUGCCCAGAUGGGAUUAGCUUGUAGGUGAGGUAACGGCUCACCUAGGCGACGAUCCCUCGCUGGUCUGAGAGGAUGACCAGCAAAACUGGAAAGGAGCAACGGUCCGGACGCCUACGGGAGGCAGCAGUGGGGAAGAUUGCACAAGGGGCGCAAGCCGGAUGCAGCCAGGCCGCGGGUAUGAAGAAGGCCUUCGGGUUGUAAAGUACUGUCUGCGGGGAGGCGUUACCCGCAGAAGAAGCACCGGCUAACUCCGUGCCAGCAGCCGCGGUAAUAC